rnacentral:misc_RNA from 1 species
GAGGGAGCGAUCCGGAAUUCGUGUGCACGCUUUUCCUCCAGAAUUUUUCGAUCCGAGGAACUCGAUCGGUGAACGAGGCUGUGGAGUCGUGCGAACCGGAAGGCGUGUUAUCGAUUACCACGUGAGAAGAAACGUGUACAGCUGCGUGUCUCGCCUUUUACCGCUUGUCCAACGAUAUCGAAUCAAUCAGGUGACAAAGUGUAGAAGAUCCGGUACGAACAAGGACCAUGUUCGAGUUGAAUAUUGCGAUUAAUUUCAAGUUACGUAUGGCGUUGGUGUGAAUGAAUCUUACGUUACACGCAAGUGCGAAUAUAGCGAUGAAAAGCGAAGCAAAUGGAAAGAAACGUCUGACUUUUCGAUUUGAACCGAUGUCUGCAGGAUACAGCUUAUAUAUUCGUUUCAACGCACUGAAUAAUGAGAGCUGCGUUACCACGCGAGUAUCGGAAGAGAGAAUUGCAAUUUAAGCACCGAGACUAAGUACCUAAUUGCUCUUAAUUAGACUAAAUUGAAGGUUACCAG